UCUAGAAAUGACAGAAAGUGCUGUUAAGCGCACCUUUCUUUUUUUCAGCAACACACGUUUGUUGCUGAGACACAUAUUUAACCACCAGCAACAUUUGAAGGCGGGCGGAUUUGAAAGAGCGGACUUGGGUAACGCGUAAACAAAAUGGUGGCAAACCGAAAGAGUGUGAAAAAGAUUGAUUGACGAAGGAAAUAUAAUCAAAAAGAUGGAUUGAAGGACACAAAGGGGGUGGUAAUCACCCCCUAUGAGUUCCGGAAACGCCGUAGAUUGUGAGAAGCGUCUCAUCAUAUUUCUGAGAAUGUAUUCCAGUAAUGUCAAUGCGCUGUUUCAUUGUUGACAUAUUUUGUUGCGAUAACUCUGUCCCUUCUUCAUUCCAACUGGAAUGAAUCGAUGGAUUAUAUGUACAUACAUUAAUUUUAAUCAGUUGAUUAUUUCAACAUUAUUUCAUUUCAUCCUUCUUGAGCUGUUCAGCACAGAGAAAUCCACGGUUUUCUUAUAUAAUCAGUUGCAUUUUGGAUUGUGUUGAGAGAAGUACUAGCAAUGCAAUGUUCCAUUGUUUUCAUAUUAUUUGCGAUAACCUUUGGGAGAUCCAUGUCACAGCAUUGUGAGGUGGAUGGAUCUCAAAACGAGUGCGGCGGAUGCGGCAAAUGGACAAAAAGUUAGAGACUCUAGGAAGAGAGUUGGCGAUCCAGCAGGAAUUGGAAAAGAGCUCACAGUCCGCAGAUACUCUCAAACAACUGGCCAAAAUUGACGAAAAGUGAGAGGCAGGAUCAGGAAGACAGUUGAUGAUCCAGCAGGAACUGGAAAAGAGCUCCAAAGAGCUAGCUAUUAAAAAUCGCACAAAACGACGAAAAAUUAGAGGUUCUAAGAAGACAGUUCGCAAUUCAGCUGGAGUUGGAAAAGAGCUCGCAGAUGAGACUUCAAAGAUUAGAGCUUUUCGAAAAAAUACGGUCCAAUUAUUAUUACAUUGAAACAAAUAGUAAAAUGAACUGGAAAGAUGCAUUGGAUAAAUGCCAUAAGAUGGGGGCUCACUUACUGAAUCUGGAAAGCAUGGAUGAGAUGAAGGCACUCGGCAGAAUGCUGAAUAAGACCCAGAGGUAUUGGAUAGAUCUGAACGAUAUAAAAAAGGAAGGAGAGUUUAUUUCGGCCACUACUGGCUUGCCGGGAACGUUUUUCACUGGCAGGAAAACGAACCCAAUAACAAGGAAAACUCUGAAAAUUACGUCGAGCUAAUUACCGCCGAAUUUUGGAUGAACGACCAAUCAUGAAAUUACGAAAAUUACUUUAUUUGUGAGACACCUUGGGAUUCACUGUAACCUAUAUGACUAUAUGAUGAUUCAGAUUAUAUUACAAGUUGUGUGAAACGUGCAACUGAAUACAAAUUUUAAGAACGUUUACUCCUUUCAAAACUAGUGUGCCACUUAAUUACUUAGUUGAGCUGAAAAUCCCGGCGGUACUGCAAUACAGCGCCAGCCCGCGAUAGAGAGGUGAAAGCCGCUAGCAUUCCGUCUGAUUCCAAAAAAUCAGUUUAACAAUUGUUGUUCUCCAAGGGAGAAACCAUCAAAUGUUAAGCUAAUAAAAAACAUUUCUUGUCCAUUAGGCCGAGAAGCAAUGACUGAGCUGGCAAAACCAUUUGUUUUUCUUGCUCUACGUGUGAACGUCAAUCAAGAUUAUUGCAAAUUUUAAAAACACACCCAAAGAGCGUGGGCGGCAGUUUUGCGAAAAGUCUGUGCAUGACUAAAGCAAAAUGAAAUCAUAAAUCGAAGAUUGUAGUCGUGGGGUAUAUUCUAUAAACGAAGCGGUACAAACUCUAUUAUAUCUAUUAAAAACUAUACCAAAAUUAGUGGCAAAGCUAUGAUCACUUCGGGGAUUGUUUGGAUUCUUAAGAUGAGGAACCAGAAAGCAAUUCAAUUUAUUUUGGUAUGAAAGCAGAUCGGUUUAUUGUUGAUUUGGUGUUGAAAACCAGCUUAAUAUUUUGUUCACGUUUCUUCCGCAUUUUCUAAAUUGGAAAAGUACUGUGGUGGCCAUAACAUUAAUAACAAUAAACGAUUAAUUGAGAAAUGU